rnacentral:rRNA from 1 species
GACGAACGCUGGCGGCGUGCUUAACACAUGCGAGUCGAACGGAAAGGCCCUGCUUUUGUGGGGUGCUCGAGUGGCGAACGGGUGAGUAACACGUGAGUAACCUGCCCUUGACUUUGGGAUAACUUCAGGAAACUGGGGCUAAUACCGGAUAGGAGCUCCUGCUGCAUGGUGGGGGUUGGAAAGUUUCGGCGGUUGGGGAUGGACUCGCGGCUUAUCAGCUUGUUGGUGGGGUAGUGGCUUACCAAGGCUUUGACGGGUAGCCGGCCUGAGAGGGUGACCGGCCACGUUGGGACUGAAAUACGGCACAGACUACUACGGGAGGCAACAGUGGGGAAUAUUGCACUAUGGGCGGAAGCCUGAUGCAGCCACGCCGCGUGCGGGAUGAUGGCAUUCGGGUUGUAAACUGCUUUCGCCUGUGACGAAGCGUGAGUGACGGUAAUGGGUAAAGAAGCACCGGCUAACUACGUG